GCAUGUACCUGGGUUGUGGGCACAUCCCCAGUAGGAGGUGUGCAGGAACCAGCUGAUCAAUGUUUCUCUAUCAUCAAUAUUUCUAAUUCUCUAUCUCUCUCCCUUCCUCUCUGUAAAAAAAUCAA